rnacentral:rRNA from 1 species
CGUGCGAGCGUGCCUAAUACAUGCAAGUCGAGCGAGACAGAAGGGAGCUUGCUCCCGGAUGUUAGCGGCGGCACGGGUGAGUAACACGUGGGUAACCUGCCUGUAAGACUGGGAUAACUCCGGGAAACCGGAGCUAAUACCGGAUAGUUCCUUGAACCGCAUGGUUCAAGGAUGAAAGACGGUUUCGGCUGUCACUUACAGAUGGACCCGCGGCGCAUUAGCUAGUUGGUGGGGUAAUGGCUCACCAAGGCGACGAUGCGUAGCCGACCUGAGAGGGUGAUCGGCCACACUGGGACUGAGACACGGCCCAGACUCCUACGGGAGGCAGCAGUAGGGAAUCUUCCGCAAUGGACGAAAGUCUGACGGAGCAACGCCGCGUGAGUGAUGAAGGUUUUCGGAUCGUAAAGCUCUGUUGUUAGGGAAGAACAAGUGCGAGAGUAACUGCUCGCACCUUGACGGUACCUAACCAGAAAGCCACGGCUAACUACGUGCCAGCAGCCGCGGUAAUACGUAGGUGGCAAGCGUUGUCCGGAAUUAUUGGGCGUAAAGGGCUCGCAGGCGGUUUCUUAAGUCUGAUGUGAAAGCCCCCGGCUCAACCGGGGAGGGUCAUUGGAAACUGGGAAACUUGAGUGCAGAAGAGGAGAGUGGAAUUCCACGUGUAGCGGUGAAAUGCGUAGAGAUGUGGAGGAACACCAGUGGCGAAGGCGACUCUCUGGUCUGUAACUGACGCUGAGGAGCGAAAGCGUGGGGAGCGAACAGGAUUAGAUACCCUGGUAGUCCACGCCGUAAACGAUGAGUGCUAAGUGUUAGGGGGUUUCCGCCCCUUAGUGCUGCAGCUAACGCAUUAAGCACUCCGCCUGGGGAGUACGGUCGCAAGACUGAAACUCAAAGGAAUUGACGGGGGCCCGCACAAGCGGUGGAGCAUGUGGUUUAAUUCGAAGCAACGCGAAGAACCUUACCAGGUCUUGACAUCCUCUGACAACCCUAGAGAUAGGGCUUUCCCUUCGGGGACAGAGUGACAGGUGGUGCAUGGUUGUCGUCAGCUCGUGUCGUGAGAUGUUGGGUUAAGUCCCGCAACGAGCGCAACCCUUGAUCUUAGUUGCCAGCAUUCAGUUGGGCACUCUAAGGUGACUGCCGGUGACAAACCGGAGGAAGGUGGGGAUGACGUCAAAUCAUCAUGCCCCUUAUGACCUGGGCUACACACGUGCUACAAUGGACAGAACAAAGGGCUGCAAGACCGCAAGGUUUAGCCAAUCCCAUAAAUCUGUUCUCAGUUCGGAUCGCAGUCUGCAACUCGACUGCGUGAAGCUGGAAUCGCUAGUAAUCGCGGAUCAGCAUGCCGCGGUGAAUACGUUCCCGGGCCUUGUACACACCGCCCGUCACACCACGAGAGUUUGCAACACCCGAAGUCGGUGAGGUAACCUUUAUGGAGCCAGCCGCCGAAGGUGGGGCAGAUGAACUU